UUUAUUGCACAGGAAAUUACAGGUACUAGAGAAAAAUUUGAUUUUUUUUUCUAGCAGCAGACAGAAAAUGAAAUGUACCAAACAUAUGAACAUGUGUCACAAUAACAUCUCUAAUACCACAGCUGCAGGGUCAGACUGCAGCAGGAGCUCAGAUAAUACUGCUGGUUCUUUCUGAGGUAUCUUUAUUGGUUUCGUACAAUUUCCAGCUAUCUACGCACCCCUUCACAUUUUCCCAUUUUUUAGCUUUCAGGGACAUGGCUAGAAUCCUGAUUUGAAUUUAUCUUCUUAAAUUGAUUAAUAAAUUGCCUCAAAAUGGGCCACGUUUACCAGGAAAACAUAUAUUGUUGUUUAAAAUGAUAUUCCCUCAAGAGGCAUUCAAACAUUAUCUAACACAUCGCAAAAUGCUAACUUGAUAAAACCCGGAGGCUUAACUUUUAAGAUGCUAAUUAUCAUCAUAAUUAAAUCUGUCGGGUUAACAUCAAACAAUCUAAUAACUUUAAUGUAAUAGGUUUGCUAGCUUUAGCAUGAGCAACAGGUAAAUCUUGUUAUACUCAGCGGCUCUUCAAACAACAGAGGCCGAUUCUUAUGGAGAUUUAAUUUGUUGUUUCUGUUAUCCUAACUAUGUGUGCUAUUAGCAUAACUCUGAAGAAGCUAACUGGCCAAAAAAGGGCAGGGGUUGAAGCUGCCUCAACAUUUAGAGUCACCUCAAAGCAAAGGUUUGUUUUUAUUCUGUUACGACUGCAAGAUUCAAAAACAAAAGACUCAGGAGUCGCGAAGAGUUUAGCUCAAAUAUAGACAUUUAUUUCAUCAUCAACGACACCUUCAAGUUAAAAACACAAGCUUUACAGACUUGCAGAAAAAUAUAUAUAGUUUUGUGCUAACUCAUCCUCAUUCAAAAAUCUCAUUUCCACUCACACUUAACUUUACACUCACCACAAAAUUGCACUGUUUAAAAACUAAAAAUCUCUUUCUCUUGACCAAUCAAGUAUCAACGCAGCAGUGGCCACGUCUUUGAAUUAUUAAAAUAAGGCAAAUGUGCCAAUUCACGUCUACCUGGAAAACAAAAAAAAAGGAAGGGCUAGC